rnacentral:rRNA from 1 species
GACAGAGGGUGCGAGCGUUUGUUCGGAAUUACUGGGCGUAAAGCGCGCGCAGGCGGAUCCUGCAAGUCGGAAGUGAAAUGUGGCUGCUCAACGGCCACGCUGCUUCCGAUACUGCGGAUCUGGGGACCGGUAGAGGCUGGUGGAAUUGCAGGUGUAGCGGUGGAAUGCGUAGAGAUCAGCAGGAACACCCGUGGCGAAGGCGGCCCCCUGGGCCGUACCUGACGCUGAGGCGCGAAGGCUAGGGGAGCGAACGGG